CAGCCGCCGCGGUAAUACAGAGGAUGCAUGCGUUGUCCGGAAUUAUUGGGCGUAAAGGGCUCGCAGGCGGUUUCUUAAGUCUGAUGUGAAAGCCCCCGGCUCAACCGGGGAGGGUCAUUGGAAACUGGGAAACUUGAGUGCAGAAGAGGAGAGUGGAAUUCCACGUGUAGCGGUGAAAUGCGUAGAGAUGUGGAGGAACACCAGUGGCGAAGGCGACUCUCUGGUCUGUAACUGACGCUGAGGAGCGAAAGCGUGGGGAGCGAACAGGAUUAGAGACCCGCGUAGUCCCUGUUUCUUAUAC
rnacentral:rRNA from 1 species